rnacentral:rRNA from 1 species
AGAGUUUGAUCCUGGCUCAGGACGAACGCUGGCGGCGUGCCUAAUACAUGCAAGUCGAGCGAACUUGCGGGAGCUUGCUCCCAAAAGUUAGCGGCGGACGGGUGAGUAACACGUGGGCAACCUGCCUGUAAGACGGGGAUAACUUCGGGAAACCGGAGCUAAUACCGGAUGACUCUUUUCCUCGCAUGAGGAAAAGCUGAAAGAUGGUUUCGGCUAUCACUUACAGAUGGGCCCGCGGCGCAUUAGCUAGUUGGUGAGGUAACGGCUCACCAAGGCAACGAUGCGUAGCCGACCUGAGAGGGUGAUCGGCCACACUGGGACUGAGACACGGCCCAGACUCCUACGGGAGGCAGCAGUAGGGAAUCUUCCGCAAUGGACGAAAGUCUGACGGAGCAACGCCGCGUGAGUGAUGAAGGUUUUCGGAUCGUAAAACUCUGUUGUUAGGGAAGAACAAGUAUCGGAGUAACUGCCGGUACCUUGACGGUACCUAACCAGAAAGCCACGGCUAACUACGUGCCAGCAGCCGCGGUAAUACGUAGGUGGCAAGCGUUGUCCGGAAUUAUUGGGCGUAAAGCGCGCGCAGGUGGUUCCUUAAGUCUGAUGUGAAAGCCCCCGGCUCAACCGGGGAGGGUCAUUGGAAACUGGGGAACUUGAGUGCAGAAGAGGAAAGUGGAAUUCCACGUGUAGCGGUGAAAUGCGUAGAGAUGUGGAGGAACACCAGUGGCGAAGGCGACUUUCUGGUCUGCAACUGACACUGAGGCGCGAAAGCGUGGGGAGCGAACAGGAUUAGAUACCCUGGUAGUCCACGCCGUAAACGAUGAGUGCUAAGUGUUAGGGGGUUUCCGCCCCUUAGUGCUGCAGCAAACGCAUUAAGCACUCCGCCUGGGGAGUACGGCCGCA